GAUUUCAGUAACCCUGCUCAAGAGAUUUUACCGACAAUAAUGGGUGAAGAGAAGUUGGUUGAAAUUUCGAUAAAUCACGAGGGGGAGGAUUUUUUAGCAUUUGUCAGAUUGGAAACUGCAAAUGUAUUGUUGAAUGAUCCAGAGGCAGCUUCAAACUAUGUUAGAAAACAUCUUAUUAGCGAACAACAAAAUGCACAACACUCAGAUAGUAAUACUGGUGUCAUCAGUGUGUGGUCAACAAAAAGGCCAAGUGUAAAAGACAGUAAGGCUACAGAAAUAUUCCUGGAAUUACGCCAAAAAUAUGCCCACGAAUUUGAUGACAAAAAGCAUGU